rnacentral:lncRNA from 1 species
AGGACUCAAGGGACGGCGAUGGGACCUUGCAUAGCUAGCCUUGCCAUGCUUUGUUGGUCUCGAGUCUUCACUGAUCUUUACUUCUUUGGGAGAGGCAUGGCAGAGUACUUCUGGUUCUGGUCGCUCCCACAGACUUGUCCUGAUUCGGUGGAGGCCUGGCUGUUUCUGCUUGAUCGUGCCACCACUGCUGAUUUGUGUUUGUGACGCUACUGAACUGGACUGCUGCUAUCCUGACAAUGGAGAUCGGAAUGACUCUAAAAUCUACUUCUAAACAGGCUUCGACUCCAAUGCUGCCGUUUCUCGGAGGUCAGGAAUCUUUCUUACCCGUCACAUCUUCAGUGGCAGCGUGUCUGCCAAAUUGCUCUGUUUUGUUUCAUCACAGCAUUCACCUCUACCUGACAUUUCCUCGGCUCCUUUGUCAUUGGCUGUCUCCCUCUGCUUACACGCCCACUGUGGAAAGCAGUGACUUGCUUGCCUUGGCUACUACCACAGCCCACAGAGUCGGACUCCUGAAAAUCAGUGAAGUUGCAGUUUCAAGAGCUUGAGGCGGCAAAGGUUUUGCUUGGACAAGAAAAUGUGUGCAGAGGAUUUCUCCAGGAUCCAGAAUUAAUCCCAGGGAGCGUGACAAUAUGGAUUUAAGGAGAUGUCCCCUAGAGUGGACAGGUGGCCCAACAGUGACACCCGAAUGAAGUGGAAACUUACGGUUUCUUUGAAAAGUCAGUUUUUUGUUUUGUUUUGUUUUUUUUUUUUUUAAGAAGGUGUUUUGCUGGAGCAAAUAUGUGAAGGGCUGUUUUUCUCAAGGGGACACAAAUAAAAGAAUGUUUUGCUGUGACAGAUACAAGAAGGGAUAUUUCACUGAAGCAGACACAAGGAGAGAGGAUGCUUUGCUAAAGCAAGCACAUGAAGCGACACAUGAUGAAGGACUCUUUGCUAACAACACAUAUGUAUUGGUUUGCCUUACAUUGAGUAGCUAAGCUCCAUUUGUUGUAACUCCAUAGAGAGAAACACAUAAAAAGCUUGUGGCA